GUGGAUUAGAUACCCUGGUAGUCCACGCCGUAAACGGUGGGCACUAGGUGUGGGGGACAUUCCACGUUCUCCGUGCCGAAGCUAACGCAUUAAGUGCCCCGCCUGGGGAGUACGGCCGCAAGGCUAAAACUCAAAGGAAUUGACGGGGGCCCGCACAAGCGGCGGAGCAUGCGGAUUAAUUCGAUGCAACGCGAAGAACCUUACCUGGGUUUGACAUACACCGGAAAGCUGCAGAGAUGUAGCCCCCGCAAGGUCGGUGUACAGGUGGUGCACGUCCGUCGCCAACU
rnacentral:rRNA from 1 species